GGAGAAAAAAGAGGAUUAGNNNCCNNNNUAUAGNGGGCAGACAAUGAUGAGUGUCAUAGGUAAGAUNNAUGUAUAAAUGAAAGUGUAAGCACUCCACCUCAAGAGUAACGUGGCAACAUGGGAACUGAAAUCAUUAGGCCGUUUCUGAAACUCGUAGUGAAGUAUGUUGUUUAAUUUGUAGGUACGCAAAUAACCUUACCACAAUUUGAAUAGCUUGUACAAGCGUUGCACGGCUNUUUUUAGUUAAUGUUGUGAAACUUUGGUUAGGUCCAUUAAAUNGAGUUANNCCCUUACUUUAUUUAAUAUAAAGUAAUUCGCCACAGUAUGGGUAGCGAUAUAA
rnacentral:rRNA from 1 species